CCAUGGGUGAUUCUUUGGCUGUCCCCUGUUUUGAUGCCUUGGGCCAUCUCUUGUAGUACAUAUAACAGGGUUUUUUUCAGGAUUUUCUCUUGGAUCCGUUUUUGCAGAGAAGAUUGAGUUUAGCUGAACAGCUGUGGUGGUUGCACCCCCCCCCCCUACCGGGGGGCUGACACUUGUACUCAACAAAUGUAGUUGAGACGGAAUGUGUUAAAGCAGGGGCAUUGAGGGACACUAUAAACUGGUUAACGAUGGCGAAUGCAUAGUUUUUCUUGUGUUGUGAGAUGAAUUCCAGCCAUUUUUUCUUAAUUGUCGGGUUU